rnacentral:rRNA from 1 species
UUCAGUGAGUCAUCGAAAUUUUGAACGCAUAUUGCACUUUCGGGUUAUGCCUGGAAGUAUGCCUGUAUCAGUGUCCGU